UGCUAUUGCUCUACUGAUCUUCAACUAUCUUAUUUCUCGCAGAAGUUUAUACGAAACGAAGUACUUGAUUAGGUUAUGUGCUCCUUAAUCUUAUUUUUAAUGCAUGUAAUAUAAUCUGCCUUCCAAAGACGAUACAUCUGCAGAUUCCAUUGAGGAGCUUGACCUGCAGGGCGUACUCAUGCUUUUGAUUGAAGUACGCAGUGUAAAAUUUUGACGCGGAUUCGUCCUCCAUCACAAAAUUUCUUUGAUGUGUGAAAUGCAUGUCUCCAUUCUAAAGUUAGAUUUCUGUGGUUCUUGUUUAAAAUUUUCAUUUAUCUCAUGCACGUGCAUUCCACGAGAUCAUCAUGUUUAUUUCUGAAAUCAGUAUCUUGUUCUAUUCUCAAACCGUGGAGACCUUUUCCAUCUUCCCACAUGGGCAUGGUGUUGAGUUAACAGUUCCAACUUUGGCUUUCAUGAGGAAGGAGAUCUUUUUAUUUAUUUAUUUUUACUCUUAUGAUCUUUGAGCGUUCACUAGAAUUACUUUAUUGUGUUUUUCAUUGAUUCACAUGUUUACUUUAACUUAACCCAACUUUUUCCUUCUUUUUUUUCCCCCUUGUUUAAGGUUCGAAAUCUCCAGGCACCCAAUAAAUAUUUGUGUAAACCCUCUAUCCAACCUCCACUCUCUUCUUCUCUCCUCUUUUUCUCUCUCUCUCUCCCUCUUCGCCUCUCUCUCCAACAAGAUGCUCCCAACGAGAUUCAUCGUAUUCUUUGAUGAACUCUACGCCAUCAGGAAUUCUAUCAAACAUCUCCCUGUGCACAUGGAGAAGCCUAAACACCAAAGCCAGCGCUUGCACCUCGAAGGCCAUUACUUUUUCCCUUGCUGAUUAUGGUGUAUUCAGGUCAGUAACAUAUAUAAAUAUAUAUUGACUUUUCAGAUUUCAAUUUAGGCUCAAAAUUUCAAGUUUUCAUAUUUCAAUUGGGCUUACAAGAUUUCAGUGGUGAUGAGGAUGUUGAUGGAGGCUUUGAACAACGACAACGAGGCCACGAUGCAGGAGGCUCUUGAGUUGUUGAUCGAAUUGGCGGGGACCCAGCUCAGGUUCUUCAGGCAGCAGGGAGAGUAGGUUGGGAAGGAGUGGAUCUAUUGGCAUUAGGUCCAGGUCGG
rnacentral:lncRNA from 1 species